rnacentral:rRNA from 1 species
GAUGAACGCUGGCGGCGUGCCUAAUACAUGCAAGUCGAGCGAACAGACGAGGAGCUUGCUCCUCUGACGUUAGCGGCGGACGGGUGAGUAACACGUGGAUCACCUACCUAUAAGACUGGGAUAACUUCGGGAAACCGGAGCUAAUACCGGAUAAUAUAUUGAACCGCAUGGUUCAAUAGUGAAAGACGGUUUUGCUGUCACUUAUAGAUGGAUCCGCGCCGCAUUAGCUAGUUGGUAGGCUAACGGCUUACCAAGGCAACGAUGCGUAGCCGACCUGAGAGGAUGAUCCGCCACACUGGGACUGAGACACGGUCCAGACUCCUACGGGAGACAGCAGUGGGGAAUUUUGGACAAUGGGCGAAAGCCUGAUCCAGCAAUGCCGCGUGAAGGAUGAAGGCCUUCGGGUUGUAAACUUCUGUUGUACGGAACGAAAAGCCGCUUUCUAAUAAAGAGGGGUCAUGACGGUACCGUAAGAAUAAGCACCGGCUAACUACGUG